UUGUUCGCAAUGGGCGCAAGCCUGACGACGCAACGCCGCGUGGAGGAUGAAGACUUUCGGGUCGUAAACUCCUUUCGACCGAGAUGAACGUCCUCCGACCUAAUACGUCGGAGGAGUGACAGUAUCGAGGGAAGAAGCCCCGGCUAACUCUGUGCCAGCAGCCGCGGUAAUACAGGGGGGGCGAGCGUUGUUCGGAAUUACUGGGCGUAAAGGGUUCGUAGGUGGCUGGCUAAGUCAGACGUGAAAUCCCUCAGCUUAACUGGGGAACUGCGUCUGAGACUGGCGAGCUCGAGUGCAGGAGAGGAACGCGGAAUUCCAGGUGUAGCGGUGAAAUGCGUAGAUAUCUGGAGGAACACCGGUGGCGAAGGCGGCGUUCUGGACUGCAACUGACACUGAGGAACGAAAGCCAGGGUAGCAAACGGG
rnacentral:rRNA from 1 species